AGCCUCAUUCUAGAUGAGAAUGGAGACUGUUGAUCAGGGUCCAGAAUUGGUCAAUGUGGCUAAAUUGACACUGGUUACGCUUCCAUUACAGUAUAUAUUUGCAGUGGUGACAAUGAGACCUGUAACAUUU
ensembl:snoRNA